CCUACGGGGGGCUGCAGUGGGGAAUAUUGGACAAUGGGGGCAACCCUGAUCCAGCCAUGCCGCGUGUGUGAAGAAGGCCCUCGGGUUAUAAAGCACUUUCAGUGAGGAAGAACGCCUGGUGGUUAAUACCCAUCAGGAAAGACAUCACUCACAGAAGAAGCACCGGCUAACUCCGUGCCAGCAGCCGCGGUAAUACGGAGGGUGCGAGCGUUAAUCGGAAUUACUGGGCGUAAAGCGCGCGUAGGUGGCUUGAUAAGCCGGUUGUGAAAGCCCCGGGCUCAACCUGGGAACGGCAUCCGGAACUGUCAAGCUAGAGUGCAGGAGAGGAAGGUAGAAUUCCCGGUGUAGCGGUGAAAUGCGUAGAGAUCGGGAGGAAUACCAGUGGCGAAGGCGGCCUUCUGGACUGACACUGACACUGAGGUGCGAAAGUGUGGGUAGCAAACAGGAUUAGAUACCCUAGUAGUC
rnacentral:rRNA from 1 species